GAUGGUAUAGCUUGGUGGUAGAGUGUGUGCUUAGCGUGCAUGAGGUCCUGGGUUCAAUCCCCUGUACCCCCA
rfam:Camelus ferus unplaced genomic scaffold scaffold1431, whole genome shotgun sequence.